GCCGCCCUAGCUCAGUGGUAGAGCAACGGUUUUGUAAACCGUAGGUCCUGGGUUCGAAUCCCAGGGGCGGCU
rnacentral:tRNA from 1 species